AUUGAACGCUGGCGGCAUGCCUUACACAUGCAAGUCGCAUGGCAGCACUGGAGCAAUCCUGGUGUCGAGUGGCGAACGGGUGAGUAAUAUAUCGGAACGUGCCCAGUCGUGGGGGCUAACGUAGCGACAGCUCCGCCUAUCCUUCAUAAGAGCUCCGGAUGAAAGCAGGGCUUAGCAAGACCCCGCCCGAUUGGAUCGGCCGAUAUCAGAUUAGGUAGUUGGUGAGGUAAAGGCUCACCAAGCCGACGAUCUGUAGCUGGACUGAGAGGACGACCAGCCACACUGGGACUGAGACACGGCCCAGACUCCUACGGGAGGCAGCAGUGGGGAAUUUUGGACAAUGGGCGCAAGCCUGAUCCAGCAAUGCCGCGUGCAGGAUGAAGGCCUUCGGGUUGUAAACUGCUUUUGUACGGAACGAAACGGCGAGCUCUAAUCCAGUUUGCUAAUGACGGUACCGUAAGAAUAAGCACCGGCGAACUACGUGCCAGCCGCCGCUGUAAAAC
rnacentral:rRNA from 1 species